UUGUACACACCGCCCGUCAAACCAUGAGAGUUGGCAACACCCGAAGCCUGUAGCUUAACCGCAAGGACGGCGCAGUCGAAGGUGGGGUCGAUGAUUAGGGUUAAGUCGUAACAAGGUAGC
rnacentral:rRNA from 1 species